rnacentral:rRNA from 1 species
CCUGAUGCGCCAUGCCGCGUGUGUGAAGAAGGCCUUCGGGUUGUAAAGUACUUUCAGUGUGAGGAAAGGGGUGUCAUUAAUACCGGCAUCUCUUGACGUUACCCACAGAAGAAGCACCGGCUAACUCCGUGCCAGCAGCCGCGGUAAUACGGAGGGUGCGAGCGUUAAUCGGAAUUACUGGGCGUAAAGCGCAUGCAGGUGGUUCGUUAAGUCAGAUGUGAAAGCCCGGGGCUCAACCUCGGAACUGCAUUUGAAACUGGUGAACUAGAGUACUGUAGAGGGGGGUAGAAUUUCAGGUGUAGCGGUGAAAUGCGUAGAGAUCUGAAGGAAUACCAGUGGCGAAGGCGGCCCCCUGGACAGAUACUGACACUCAGAUGCGAAAGCGUGGGGAGCAAACAGGAUUAGAUACCCUGGUAGUCCACGCCGUAAACGAUGUCUACUUGGAGGUUGUGGUCUUGAGCCGUGGCUUUCGGAGCUAACGCGUUAAGUAGACCGCCUGGGGAGUACGGUCGCAAGAUUAAAACUCAAAUGAAUUGACGGGGGCCCGCACAAGCGGUGGAGCAUGUGGUUUAAUUCGAUGCAACGCGAAGAACCUUACCUACUCUUGACAUCCAGAGAAUCCAGCGGAGACGCAUGAGUGCCUUCGGGAGCUCUGAGACAGGUGCUGCAUGGCUGUCGUCAGCUCGUGUUGUGAAAUGUUGGGUUAAGUCCCGCAACGAGCGCAACCCUUAUCCUUGUUUGCCAGCGAGUAAUGUCGGGAACUCCAGGGAGACUGCCGGUGAUAAACCGGAGGAAGGUGGGGACGACGUCAAGUCAUCAUGGCCCUUACGAGUAGGGCUACACACGUGCUACAAUGGUCCAUACAGAGGGCUGCGAACUUGCGAGAGGGAGCUAAUCUCAAAAAGUGCGUCGUAGUCCGGAUUGGAGUCUGCAACUCGACUCCAUGAAGUCGGAAUCGCUAGUAAUCGUAGAUCAGAAUGCUACGGUGAAUACGUUCCCGGGCCUUGUACACACCGCCCGUCACACCAUGGGAGUGGGCUGCAAAAGAAGUGGGUAGCUUAACCUUCGGGAGGCGUUACCACUUUGGGUCAUGACUGGGGUGAACGU